rnacentral:sRNA from 1 species
ACGGUUCUGCCCUACGCGUAAUAUGGAAGCUACAUUCCAGCUGCCUUAAGCAAUUCCUCGGGAGCUGGCUCUGUCUGGACCCUGGUUCAGUUACCUGGCGCCCACCUGUACAUACAGGUCUGCGGGAAUAAGCCUCCCACGGUUGUGGUGGUUCCGUC